rnacentral:rRNA from 1 species
CAACGUGGGGAACCUGCCCCAUAGUCUGGGAUACCACUUGGAAACAGGUGCUAAUACCGGAUAAGAAAGCGGAUCGCAUGAUCAGCUUUUAAAAGGCGGCGUAAGCUGUCGCUAUGGGAUGGCCCCGCGGUGCAUUAGCUAGUUGGUAAGGUAAAGGCUUACCAAGGCGAUGAUGCAUAGCCGAGUUGAGAGACUGAUCGGCCACAUUGGGACUGAGACACGGCCCAAACUCCUACGGGAGGCAGCAGAU